UGUGUGUGUAUGCAUGUGUGCAUGUGCACGUGUGUGUAUGUGUACA
rnacentral:miRNA from 1 species